rnacentral:lncRNA from 1 species
CUGCUAGAUCAACUACAUUCUCUGGAUCGAUGGCCCUAGAAACGCUUAAACAUGCUUUGUCCACAUUCUCUUCUGAUAAAUCCACAUGCUUGGUUUGGGGCAAGUUAUUAAUACUACUUGAGCAAGACUCUGUCUUCUCAAACACUUGAUUCAUAUCUACCUGCUGCCUGUCAAGAGGAAAAUCAAUGUUCGAAUAAUUAUAACCUCUAAGCCAAAUAAGAAGAAAAACA